rnacentral:rRNA from 1 species
CCUACGGGCGGCAGCAGUGAGGAAUAUUGGUCAAUGGACGAGAGUCUGAACCAGCCAAGUAGCGUGAAGGAUGACUGCCCUAUGGGUUGUAAACUUCUUUUAUAUGGGAAUAAAAUGUUCCACGUGUGGGAUUUUGUAUGUACCAUAUGAAUAAGGAUCGGCUAACUCCGUGCCAGCAGCCGCGGUAAUACGGAGGAUCCGAGCGUUAUCCGGAUUUAUUGGGUUUAAAGGGAGCGUAGGUGGAUUGUUAAGUCAGUUGUGAAAGUUUGCGGCUCAACCGUAAAAUUGCAGUUGAAACUGGCAGUCUUGAGUACAGUAGAGGUGGGCGGAAUUCGUGGUGGAGCGGUGAAAUGCUUAGAUAUCACGAAGAACUCCGAUUGCGAAGGCAGUUCACUGGACUGCAACUGACACUGAGGCUCGAAAGUGUGGGUAUCAAACAGGAUUAGAUACCCCUGUAGUC